rnacentral:rRNA from 1 species
AACGAACGCUGGCGGCAUGCCUAACACAUGCAAGUCGAACGAGACCUUCGGGUCUAGUGGCGCACGGGUGCGUAACGCGUGGGAACCUGCCCUUAGGUUCGGAAUAACUCCCCGAAAGGGGUGCUAAUACCGGAUAAUGUCUUCGGACCAAAGAUUUAUCGCCUUUGGAUGGGCCCGCGUUGGAUUAGCUAGUUGGUAGGGUAAAAGCCUACCAAGGCGACGAUCCAUAGCUGGUCUGAGAGGAUGAUCAGCCACACUGGGACUGAGACACGGCCCAGACUCCUACGGGAGGCAGCAGUGGGGAAUAUUGGACAAUGGGCGAAAGCCUGAUCCAGCAAUGCCGCGUGAGUGAUGAAGGCCUUAGGGUUGUAAAGCUCUUUUACCCGGGAUGAUAAUGACAGUACCGGGAGAAUAAGCUCCGGCUAACUCGUG